UACGGGGGGAGCAAGCGUUGUUCGGAUUUACUGGGCGUAAAGGGCGCGUAGGCGGCCACCGCAAGUCGACUGUGAAAUCUCCGGGCUUAACCCGGAAAGGUCAGCCGAUACUGCGGGCUAGAGUGCAGAAGGGCAACUGGAAUUCUCGGUGUAGCGGUGAAAUGCGUAGAUAUCGAGAGGAACACCUGCGGCGAAGGCGGGUUGCUGGGCUGACACUGACGCUGAGGCGCGAAGCUAGGGGAGCGAACGGG
rnacentral:rRNA from 1 species